rnacentral:tRNA from 1 species
GCCCCAUUAGCUCAGGGGAUUAGAGCGUCUGCCUCCGGAGCAGAAGGCCGUUGGUUCGAAUCCGACAUGGGGCACCA